AUACUGCAACAAUGAAUGCGGUCAUGUUUGGGAGCUCCUCGGCUACUGCGGUGUUGCAAGCUAUAUGAGUUUCAAGCAUGUAAAUCGGAGGGGAGCAGAAGAACCACUUUGUUCCCCAGCCCUGCCCCCGGGUAUAUAAAUAGCCGCCUGGGUGGCUGCUGGAGUGCCUCUCAUUCCAGAGAUCUUUGGCCACCCUCUUAUCAAAACAGAAAGACUGACUUCACUCCCGUUCUCUGCCGACUGAUUUCAUGCUGGAAACAGAGCGAUGCAGAGCAACCAUCCCAGGCGGGCUAA
rnacentral:lncRNA from 1 species